GACGAACGCUGGCGGCGUGCUUAACACAUGCAAGUCGAACGAAGUGGCGAACGGGUGAGUAACGCGUAAUCAACCUGCCCUUCAGCGGGGGACAACAGUUGGAAACGACUGCUAAUACCGCAUACUGAAGGAGGGGAUUGCGUCUGAUUAGCUAGUUGGAGGGGUCACGGCCCACCAAGGCGAUGAUCAGUAGCCGGUCUGAGGGGAGGAACCGCCACCUUGGGACUGCGCACCGGCCCAGACGCCUACGGGAGGCAGCAGUGGGGAAUCUUCCGCAAUUGACGAAAGGCGGACGGAGCAACGCCGCGUGAGUGAUGACGGCCUUCGGGUUGUAAAGCUCUGUUUGUCGGGACGCGGUACCGGAAUAGAAAGCCACGGCUAACUACGUGCCAGCAGCCGCGGUAAUUC
rnacentral:rRNA from 1 species